ACGAAUAUACAGAAAGGGAAAAGUUGGCAGGCUCUGUGACAAAGCCUAACAGAGACUGGAGGGAAAAGAGCCAGCUCCUCUGACUAUUGGGGAGUCGGUGUUCAUAUGUCAACACACAGCCCACAGAGCAAGAGUCCCCUAGAAAAGCUAUAAUGCAUUCAUUAAAUAACCAAAGCAAAUAUGAAUGGAAAGUGAAGAAACAACACACCAUGCUCUCCUAUCAGAUUGGUAGAAGAAACUUUCUUCUAGAGGAAGAAAAGAGCUCUGAAGUACUUGCCACCAAGAUGCUGGAACGGUAGGAAUCCAAGCCAUUCUAAAAGUGACCAAAAAUAACAAGCCACUCUGUGGUUAUGUCCUAUCAUUUUCCCAGAAAAAAAGGCAACGCAUCUCUUUUCUGUGUGACUGCAAAGCAGGUGCGAUGCAUGAGAAGACAUCUCAAACACUUUCAAAUAGGCCGUCUUUCCUUCAGUGACCUUCCCACACUCUCUUGUGAAGAUUUUGAAAUAAGGAAGUUAACAGGCUCUGAGGUCCCACUGUUUCCUAUUGCUAUUUCCAGUAAUAGCUCUCAAGGAUACUUUGUCACCAAGAUCCACGGAAUUGAAUGCGAUUGCAGCAAAAGGUACUCUUGAGUAGAAAAUGAAUUCCUUAUGUUAAAAAGGGGAAACGGCAUGGGGGCCUUUGGAGGAGGCUGGAGAUAAUGCUGAGCUUUUCUGUAAUGUAUGACAAAGGGAUGCCUGGACUGACAGGUGAUUAGAAGAUUGACAUAAUUUUUGAAAAUAGUAAAGGUGAAUUUUCCAAUUUAUUAUGGCUUUCAUGCAUUUUCCUUUUAAACUCCUGCUUAUAAUGCUUACCUGAAACUUACAUGGACCAUUUAGUUUGACCUGUUUUGUCAGUAAAAGUUCAUAAAGCAAUAUGAAUGAUAUAAAGACUACUUCCAUUGAAGCUUUCCCUGCCCCCUGCUCCUCUUUUUCCAGAAAUAGAAGUUUGGCUGGAGUCUUGGCCAGGAAAAAAAAAUUUUUUUAAUACUGAGCUAUCCAUGGAUCUUCUAUAUGGAAAUACAAAUGCCAUUUAUGAUUUCAGUGCUUAGGGACCUAAUUAAUCCUGAAGAGCCUUUUGGGAAUCUGGACCAUUACCUUUUAUAAUGUAGCCCGUGUAUUUCAGUUCGUAGAAUGCAUCUGAGGUUCUGCACUGUACCUUUCUGCCAUUUCCAAUCUUUUCAAAGAUUGAGAACAAAACCAGUAGAGUUGCAUUUUACACAAUGGUUACAAUAGAAAUGUAGCUUGUGAUUCAAUAAUUACAUGUAGACUCGCUGUCAUUUAAAACUUCUUUAAUGACCUAUGAAGUAAAAUAAAGUAUAUACUAUUUAUAAAAACUUCAUGCAUGUAUAUUAUAUAGUAAAGCACAACCUGUAAUGAUAAAUGUACUCUG